UAGGGAAUAUUAGAAAUGGACGAAAGUCUGAUCUAGCAACACCGCGUGUGCGAAGAAGGCCUUCGGGUUGUAAAGCACUUUUUGGAAGGAUUAGGAAGGAAUGUACUUCCAGAAUAAGUCUCGGCUAACUACGUGCCAGCAGCCGCGGUAACACGUAGGAGGCAAACGUUAUCCGGAUUUACUGGGCGUAAAGCGUGUGUAGGCGGUUUGAUAAGUUGGAUGUGAAAGCUCCUGGCUUAACUGGGAGAGGUCGUUCAAAACUAUCAGACUUGAGAGUGGUAGAGGGAGGUGGAAUUCCGCAUGUAGUGGUGAAAUGCGUAGAUAUGCGGAGGAACACCAGUGGCGAAAGCGGCCGCCUGGCCGAUUUCUGACACUCGGACACGAAAGCUAGGGUAGCAAACG
rnacentral:rRNA from 1 species